GGAGGUAUGGCUCAGUGGUAGAGUACCUGCCUAGCAAGCAUGAGGCCCUGACAUUAGACCUCAGUACCACAG
rfam:Dipodomys ordii contig_17455, whole genome shotgun sequence.